rnacentral:rRNA from 1 species
AACGUUUCGAAGGACGCUAAUACCGCAUACGUCCUACGGGAGAAAGCAGGGGACCUUCGGGCCUUGGCUAUCAGAUGAGCCUAGGUCGGAUUAGCUAGUUGGUGAGGUAAUGGCUCACCAAGGCGACGAUCCGUAACUGGUCUGAGAGGAUGAUCAGUCACACUGGAACUGAGACACGGUCCAGACUCCUACGGGAGGCAGCAGUGGGGAAUAUUGGACAAUGGGCGAAAGCCUGAUCCAGCCAUGCCGCGUGUGUGAAGAAGGUCUUCGGAUUGUAAAGCACUUUAAGUUGGGAGGAAGGGUUGUAGAUUAAUACUCUGCAAUUUUGACGUUACCGACAGAAUAAGCACCGGCUAACUCUGUGCCAGCGCCGCGGUAAUACAGAGGGUGCAAGCGUUAAUCGGAAUUACUGGGCGUAAAGCGCGCGUAGGUGGUUCGUUAAGUUGGAUGUGAAAUCCCCGGGCUCAACCUGGGAACUGCAUCCAAAACUGGCGAGCUAGAGUAUGGUAGAGGGUGGUGAAUUUCCUGUGUAGCGGUGAAAUGCGUAGAUAUAGGAAGAACCACCCUGAA